GAUGAACGCUAGCGGGAGGCCUAACACAUGCAAGCCGAGCGGUAGAGUUUCUUCGGAAACUUGAGAGCGGCGCACGGGUGCGUAACACGUGUGCAACCUACCUUUAUCUGGGGGAUAGCCUUUCGAAAGGAAGAUUAAUACCCCAUAAUAUAAUGAUUGGCAUCAAUUAUUAUUGAAAACUCCGGUGGAUAGAGAUGGGCACGCGCAAGAUUAGAUAGUUGGUGAGGUAACGGCUCACCAAGUCAAUGAUCUUUAGGGGUCCUGAGAGGGAGAUCCCCCACACUGGUACUGAGACACGGCCCAGACUCCUACGGGAGGCAGCAGUGAGGAAGAUUGGACGAUGGGUGAGAGCCUGAUCCAGCCAUCCCGCGUGAAGGAUGACGGUCCUAUGGAUUGUAAACUUCUUUUGUACAGGGAUAAACCUACCCUCGUGAGGGUAGCUGAAGGUACUGUACGAAUAAGCACCGGCAAACUCCGU
rnacentral:rRNA from 1 species